AGCAGCCGCGGUAAUUCCAGCUCCAAUGGCGUAUAUUAAAGUUGUUGCAGUUAAAAAGCUCGUAGUUGAGUUUCGGGAUUGACCCAUCGGUCGUGCCUUAAGGGGUAUGAACUGGUGUAGUCAAUUUCUCACCUUCUGGAGAACCGUGAUGUCCUUAAUUGGGUGCCACGAGGAACCAGGACCUUUACUUUGAAAAAAUUAGAGUGUUUAAAGCAGGCAUUUUUUGCUUGAAUACAUUAGCAUGGAAUAAUAAAAUAGGACGGCAUGAUUCUAUUUUGUUGGUUUCUAGGAUCACCGUAAUGAUUAAUAGGGAUAGUUGGGGGCAUUAGUAUUCAAUUGUCAGAGGUGAAAUUCUUGGAUUUAUUGAAGACUAACUACUGCGAAAGCAUUUGCCAAGGAUGUUUUCAUUAAUCAAGAACGAAAUGUUAGGGGAUCGAAGACGAUCAGAUACCGUCGUAGUCUUAACCAUAAACUAUGCCGACUAGGAAUCAGACGAUGUUAAUUUUUUAAUGACUCGUUU
rnacentral:rRNA from 1 species